GCAUUUGCUGAUUUGAUUGAUGCCCAAAUGAUUUAACCAAGUAGAACAUCGAGCAAUGUCCUCUGUUGGUUCUGGAAUAACAUUUGUAUCAGUCAUGCUAUGAGGAAUGCUUUUCCAGGACCAACAAAGGAUGUUUUUGCAGGACCAUGUUCUAGUUGGGUACUGUAAAUCCUGUUAUGCUUUAAAAGCAGUCACAUAUUUAAUCAGGCUUUAGCUGAUUGCGGUCAAUUCAGCUUGUCACAUUUAUCAAUUUUGGUUUUCAGAAAAAGAAGCAGAGGACAGCUGUGGACUUUUCUACAGUGAGCAAGGGAACAUCUGCCGGGGUGAAGAGCAGAGGUGCAUUAAAGCAGGCACUUUUUAGCCAGGGAGUGUCUGACAAAAUGGCACAUUUGAGGUAGGCCCAAUUUCUAUUUUUUUUUUUUUUUUUUGCCUGAACUGGUUCAUAGUUGGAUACAUAGACUGAUUACAUUAUUCUUAUUCCAAUCUCUCUCUCAGGAACGAUCAGGUGGUGUACAGGGGCAGGUGGACGCGUUGAAACAGGUUUUGAACUUAUUCGAUAUACCUGAGGACCUGAGAUGGACAUGGGGGGAGGGAGGUACUGAAAAAGCACUGGAAAAGAGCUGGACAGACAUAGUGGACUCCCAUGAGUCUAUGUCAAAAACCAAACGACACCAGCAGGAGGCGCUGUGGGAGCUUAUUAAUACUGAACUAACCUACAUCAACAAACUCACUAUUGCCAAAGAAGUAUGUCAUAACAUUACAGUUUUUUAAUUAAUAAGGAUUUAUUACAGUUUAUUUGAUUAAAUAUAGACAAACAAUUCACCAAGACAACAAAAAUUAGAAUAAUAAUAUGUUUAUGCUGAACAGAUAUUUUUUCCUUUGUAAUUUCAUUCAUGCAUUUUAAGUGUAUUAUUUACACUCUUGCUAGGGGGAAAAAAUCCAAUUAAGAAAUAGUAUCAGGAGAGCUGAUGUUCUAAAUAUUAGCAUGAUUCGGCUGUAGACGUGAGGCUUCAGGUAGUUACAGUCAUACUGAAUAUUAACUAACUUACAUUUUAGAAGCAAAAGUUGAGUGAAUUAUUCAGUGACUCCCUCAUUAAAACAGUCACUUUCUUCAUUUCUGAAUAAGUCAGCAUUUUUAACAAAUCAGUUGAAUGGAUGAUUCAGAUGACUAAUUAAUGUAUAACAUCUCAUCACCUACAGGGUCAUAGAAAAAUGCUUAAAACGUUCAACGCAUAAUGCUAAAAAAAGUCAAAAUUCCGACUUCUGCUUCAUUCCAAAAAUCAACACAUUUGGAACACCACUAAACCGAUGAAAUUCUAGUUGUUUUUCAAUUUAAUAUUUACAAUGUUGUCUUUUUCCAUUCUUGUUUCUCCCUUAGGUUUAAUUCUUAACAACAAAAAUGACCAGCCUUUUAAAAAUUAUUAGUAAAUUUACAAUUAUGGUAUAUUAUCACCAAAUCUUGGAUUCAGUUGUUUUGUCGACUUGUUUUCUUUCAUUUAGAACUAGGGUUUUUAUUUCUUUUUGGUAACUGUAUUAGAGAAAUGUGGAGCUUACACGCAGACAGCUUGACACAAGCCCACAGUUUCACACUUAUCUUACGGUACUAAACAUCACAUUUAUAUGUUAAAAGCAAGGAAUUAUUCUAUUGGGGGAAAAAAUCCAAUUAAGAAAUAGUAUCAGGAGAGCUGAUGUUCUAAAUAUUAGCAUGAUUCGGCUGUAGACGUGAGGCUUCAGGUAGUUACAGUCAUACUGAAUAUUAACUAACUUACAUUUUAGAAGCAAAAGUUGAGUGAAUUAUUCAGUGACUCCCUCAUUAAAACAGUCACUUUCUUCAUUUCUGAAUAAGUCAGCAUUUUUAACAAAUCAGUUGAAUGGAUGAUUCAGAUGACUAAUUAAUGUAUAACAUCUCAUCACCUACAGGGUCAUA
rnacentral:lncRNA from 1 species